ACUUCGAAGGUACCAGGUUACCGUGGAACUGCCGUAUCAUCGCCGGUCAGCUCCAAAGCAUCAAGCAACCCGACGACACCACCUUCCGGAAGUUCGCAUACUAUUCUGUAGCAGCAGCAACAACAACAGCAGUCUCAUCACGCAUCCGAUGGCGGGAUUACCAGCCGAGCGGGCUAGCCGUAUGCAACACCUUGUCCAAGAUUCGAUCAAUUGGAUAGAACAACGCGAUUGAGCCUGCUGCUGUUGCGCUGCGGCAGGAGUUUGGAGACUUUGAGGCGGCCUUUGGGAUGCUGCAGGCGAACAAACUAGCUUCCGGCGGAGUGGUCUCAAGAAGGAUUUGUUCUGUGGAUUGAGUCCAAGAAGCGGUUCGCCUGCAACGUUGUUCGGAAGGAUGUUACAGCCGACCUUUGCGUCAGCGCCGCGUGCCAACGACUCGCUGUCAGUCCUGAGCGAACUUUCGCUGGGCAGUACCAACGCUGGCGCCGAGUUGACCUGGAGUACGCGGGAUCUUCGUCAGUUACUACAGGAGACGCCCGAAAUUCAUUCCGAGGAGGGGUUGGGCGUGUUUGAAAGAGGAUUGGAUGGCUUGGCGGGACCGAGGAUUCCGGAUAAGCUUUUUCGUGUUGAUCGAAAGGAUUUUUGGAGAUACGACGCGGCACUGGCUGCGCUUGGUGAUCUCCACGUCGCACCAGGAUUCGAGUGCAAGUUGACGAGAGGCCCGGAUGUCGUAGAUCGGUCACGCUACCAGCACCACCAUCAGAACCACCCCGGGUGAACGCGUCAAUCCUAUUCAACAGUACAAAUUGCUCCUCUUCAAUCGCUCGACUGUCCUUUAAGCAGACAGGCAAGCAGCUUCCACGAAAAAGGAAAGUGGCGGAAUUAACAAUGUCAAGUUCUCCGUCACUGUCGCCGUUGCUCCGUAAAUCCCCCGUAUGGACAAACUCGAUGAAAGUUCCGGAAGAAGCCGUCUUUGAACAACCCGCUGAUUGUGGUUCCAAGCGGGAACUGGAGAAAAACCUACGUCUGCUUCGUCCAUUCCAAAGAUUGUUACCUGAAGACAAGGCUAGACGACCAGAAGGUUGACCACCUGACUUCGGUGCAGUGAAUUGGCCGCGCCAUCCCAAAGUUGGACAAACGCGGGCCAAACGCGCCCUCGAGAGCUCCAUGUCCUCCCAGCUCGCGGCAAAAAAUACCAACCUAAGCAAGCACAUGCGGGGGCGGCCGUCGCAACUCCAAGCCUAAUGGAAAUCGACUACGACGAGUUGAACGAGCAGCAUGUUCUCAACAAAUUGUUCAAACUCCCCGCGAAACCCAACUCCGUCUUCACCACCGGGUACUUCCCACUCGCGCGUAACGUGACAGUCCCCCAGCAGAUCCUGUGAAUUGCCGAAACGUUCGCCAAUGAAUUGGCCGACUUGCGCGUGGGCCAGGCGCGUCCUCGAUGACUAAGGAACCGCCGAUGCGGCUAAGAAUUCGUAACGAGAUC